AAUUUUAUCCUGCUGUACGCCGGGGUUCCACACCCAUGGGAUGGGGGUCGGGGCUCAGCAGAGGCACAGAGAGAGGCGGGAUCCCGCGGAAUUCCAUGGGAGGAACCCAGGGGAGCAGGGCUUGUUUAGUCUGGAGAAGGGAGGGCUGAGCCGGCUGCACAUUCCUGCAGGAGGGACAGAGCAGGGAGAGGGACAGCAGGAGUUGUGGGGAGUUAUUUAAAGGGAAUUGCUUCCAAAGGGAAUUCAGGAGUUUUGGCUGGUUUGCUGUUGGCUGCAGGAUGAGGAGACACAGAUCCAGCCCAGCAGACAGUCCACGGGAUUUCCUCUCCCUGUGCUCCAGAGAUGCUUUUUUGCAGGAAGAGCCAUUAUUCCAGCUUCUCCCUGCUCGGGAAGGGCUGAAUUCCCUCUGGAUCAAAUCAGCUUCAGAGGUCAGGGCUCAGCUGUAAAUCCUGUCCCUAAAACUGAGCUGCUCCUUCCCUCCUGGGGGACAGGGCCAGCCUGGAGCCGGGAUCACUCUCCUGGAGCUGCAGCCAAGCCCGGAUACCCCAUACAAGGUCAGGCUGGAGGUUGUCAGGAAAACUGGGAAGACUGGAUGGGUUUAUCCUGGUGAAACACCAUCCUGGAGAUUCCUUGGGAUCAGCCCAGCAGGAUCCCCUUCCCAAGGAUUUAACAGGAAUCCCACGGCUCCCUUUUCCCUGGGAAACUGAGCAGAGUCCAUAGCUCAGCUGCUGUGCUCGUGUCCUGCCUGACACAGCAGAGCAGGACAUGGAGCUGUAACAUUCCAGCUUAUCCUGCCUGGACACAGCAGAACCAUGGCAGGAGGACAGGGGCUCCUCCUGGAGCCUCAGCUUUGGAGAUCCAUCCUUACCCUGAGCACGGACACAUCCCUAAAUCCCUCCCAGGCAGGACUCAGAUGAGGCAGGAGAGGCUGUCAGGAAUUUAAUGGAACUUGGCACUGGAAACUGUACAACAUUUACAGAGAACCACACACUGUGUCUAUGUACACCCUCUGCCCAUUCCCAAAGUUCCCAGCCAGACAUGGGACAGGCAAUGAAACCCCUGGAUGUGGAGUCACCACUCCCCAGUCCUGGAUUUCAGGUGACAGGGACUGCAGGAUCCCAGUCCCCAUCCUGGAUUUUGGGAUAUGGCUCCCCAAUCCUGGAUUUCAGGUGACAGGGACUGCAGGAUCCCAGUCCCCAUCCUGGAUUUCAGGUGACAGGGACUGCAGGAUCUCAGUCCCCAUCCUGGAUUUCAGGUGACAGGGACUGCAGGAUCCCAGUCCCCAUCCUGGAUUUCAGGUGACAGGGAUUGUAGGAUCCCAGUCCCCCAUCCUGGAUUUCAGGUGACAGGGACUGUAGGAUCCCAGUCCCCAUCCUGGAUUUCAGGUGACAGGGAUUAGAGGAUCCCAGUCCCCAUCCUGGAUUUCAGGGACACCCUGCUGUGCUCAGAGCUGUCACCACUUUGCUUCCCACAUCGCUCUGCAGCGCCAUUCCCAAGCUGGGUCUUUCCCUGGAUUUUCCCUGGAUCUUUGGAGUGCUAGAAGAUGGCAGUGCUGCCACCCUGAGUAUUUACAACCACUCCUUCUCCUCUCCUCACACCUCCAACUCUUCCUCUCCUCUACCUUUCUACCACAUGCAAGAACCCCUUGGUUGCCUCCAAGUCCUGCUUCCUUGAGGGAAGUGUUUCAUUUCCAAAAGGCAACAAAAACACGGAAUCUACCUUCACUCCCUGCUACCCCUCUACUCACUGCUCCCCAAACCCUUCUACAACGUGCCUACAACCUUCCUACACCCUAGAGUAAAGCAGUUCUCUUUCAGUAGUGUCUCCCCCCAGCCCGUGGAUUGCUCCGGGGUGAUGUGAGGGACACUUGGGACAUCACCCCUCGGAGCACGAAGGAUCAAGUACUGGAAAGGAAAUGCCAAGUCUGAGCAUCAAAAAUACAAAAAUAAAAAAAAAACCCAAAACCAAUCAAAGGAAACAAAAAAAAUAAA